rnacentral:rRNA from 1 species
GACGAACCGUCCAAACGUUAUUCGGAAUCACUGGGCUUACAGAGUUCGUAGGCGGUCUGGAAAGUUGGGUGUGAAAUCCCUCGGCUCAACCGAGGAACUGCGCUUGAAACUACCAGACUCGAGGGAGAUAGAGGAAAGCGGAACUGAUGGUGGAGCGGUGAAAUGCGUUGAUAUCAUCAGGAACACCGGUGGCGAAGGCGGGCUUCUGGGCCGUACUGACGCUGAGGAGACGAAGCGUGGGGAGC